UACGAAGGGGGCUAGCGUUGCUCGGAAUCACUGGGCGUAAAGGGCGCGUAGGCGGCCGAUUAAGUCGGGGGUGAAAGCCUGUGGCUCAACCACAGAAUUGCCUUCGAUACUGGUUGGCUUGAGACCGGAAGAGGACAGCGGAACUGCGAGUGUAGAGGUGAAAUUCGUAGAUAUUCGCAGGAACACCAGUGGCGAAGGCGGUUGCCUGGAGCUUUGCUGACGCUGAGGCGCGAAAGCGUGGGGAGCGAGUCCGG
rnacentral:rRNA from 1 species